UAUACCUUUACUGUUUGCUAAAGUAAAGUUUAAGUGAAGUAAAUGAGUAAUUGGCAGACUGGAAUUUGUUUUCAGUCUGUGAAGCCACUGAUGGUGAGUUUUCCUACACACUUGUGAGAGAGAGGGGGGGGAUGGUGACUUAAACUCUAUAAACCGUUUCCCGUGGCUGAAAUUGCCAAUGUUAAGUCGCUGCUUGUUGCGUAGAGACUCCACAUAGAGAUCCUAAGAGGGAUGCCACUCAUAAAAACUGCAGUCAAAUUCGACAAUUCGUAGCUUGGCUGUCUUGACUGUAGGUCCGACAUGUCUAUACUCUUUUCUUGGUGGCUCUAUUCGUUAGAUUAACCACAUUAGUGGAAGCAACCAUGUUCUAAACUUCUAUAUGGCAAUACUUCUGAGUUUGUUAGACAAAAGGACUCUAGGUAGCUCUUUAUUGAUUACUGUUCUGCUUUGAAAUUGUCAUUGCCUGUCUGUUCUAUGACAUUGUUAAUAAAGCUGUUGCGAAGCGGGAUCUUUCCUUUCAAAGGGGCAGAAUUAAUGUCUUGCACUUCACGAACAGCUUGCAACAUAAUGUUGAUGUCAUUCAUGACUUUCAAGCAGCUCGGGCUUGUCUCUGCUUUCUCCUGCAUGGAUUCAUUUGAUGAAGGCCUUGAAUGCAGAAUCAUUGUGGUACAUGAUUGAAAGUGUGUCAGUUCUUCAGGUAGAGAAGCCGGUAGGUAUAGCACAUUCAUUCCCCAAACCGGGAUAUGCUGGCAUUCAUCAGUUUUGUCCAGCAUUGCCUACAAAUUUUGGGGAAAAUAAUAUGCGAGAUUUCUCACUGAUUUUGUUUGUAUUUCAUAGUGCUGGGGAUUUCAGUAUAUAACUGGUGUUGGUCUGAAGUACCGAUUGACACAAAUUGUGUGAUUGCAUUAUGUGCGCUGUGGCAAAUAAUUAAACUGUUAAUUAGUGCUUGAUUAAGCACUACAAGCAAGUACUGUGCCUUGAAGUUAUGAUCUGCACUGAAAAUUACAUAGUCUGCAUAACAUAUACAAUACCUUAUGUAUUAUUAUAUUGGGAAAAAAGUACUUAACCUAUUUUAUGUGUAAAAAUGCGCAUCAUUUUACUUUUACUUUUUUAUCAUACUUCUGAGCACGAAGCGGCGGCCGCAUCGCCAUGGACACUAGUCGUGAGCAAAACACGGUAAUGGCGGCAACAGAAAGUCGGAUUGAAGUGUAAAGUGAGGUUUCUUUUCAGUAUUUUUACGCAUUCUCUAAACUUCUGAACGUGUUUUAACACGUGUGCAAGUGCAGCGGCUUAUUCCGCUACUGAUUUUUGUAUGAAUAUUGCUUUGACCGGCAAUGCUUGUCCACUGCGUCUGGCUUCUUAUUCUAUGACUGGGUCAGAUCCUGAAAUUCGCGUGCUUGCCAACACAAAGGUCUUCCAGGCAGACGAUUCUUCAGAGAGUCCUCGUAGUCGUCCGGUGACACUUUGCACUCAGGGAGGCCAACUUAGGAAUACAUCGGUUUAUUGUAGGACAAAGUAGCAUACAUCGACGAGCGGCGGCUGAUUAUCGGCUGGCUCCUUCCCUCUUCAUCUCUACACACUUUUUUAAGGGAUCAUCAACAAUACACGCUGUACCCGCCCCCAUUUUCUAGUCCGGUUUUUGGAACACGCAGACCAACAUCACUUAAACGAACACCACAUGGCCCUCUUGCUUGAAGUUCACACGCCUCAGUGCAGUUGCCCCGGUGCAAUGGCAAGCCCCGCGAACACAUAAAUCACCCCUCGAGCCACUAACCCUGGACAUGCCGCAGAAUCACACUUGAGCAUGACAUUGCCGUCAAGUUUCCCGUUACAUACGUAUGCUAGACGACGUAAACUGUCUCCCACACCGCAAAGGGAAUGCCGCCACCCCCGGCAGUGCCUGUGUUUAUGUUAGCCCCCAAGAAUGCGCCUAUAUGCCACUGAGUGAUAUGCGCGCGGUGAGGUGGCUGCUUCGCUUCUCGUUAUGUACGCUUCUCCGUUAAAUGACCGUAUAUCUUGGACACCGCAGUGGAAGUGCACUAUCCCUAGCGGUCCCGGUCACUGUUCUAAGAACCCAAACGACGUCAGCUGUGAAAGAAUAAACAACCUGCGUUAGUGUCAUGCAUGUGGCCCCCGGGCUCCAACUUGGGCCAACUUAACUGCAUGUAAAUAAACUAUUUUCAUGAAACUAUUGUCUUUUUAUUUGCAAUUCUAUGGUUAGCUUUAUAUAUUAAAAAAUGCUACCACCACCUUGACUACGUGCUGCGAGUGCGUGUGGCUUGCUUGCAUUUGGGGAUGCAAAGCUAUAAUGCUUUUUUGCUUGGGCACGCAACCACACACAUACUAAAAGAUAGGGACUCCUGAAUGCUUCGAUAGCACAAUCUAAAGCUCUCAUUUAUGUUACUGCAUAAUCUUAUUUGUGAUAUGUACUAUCACAAUGGCAUAACAGCAAAGCACAUGGCUUUCGAUACAUGCUCCACAUGCGCAGAUAUGGUGCUUGCGGCUUUGGCACCACAGCGCUUGAAAAAGGUGUCCUUCACAGGACACAUUCGGGGAGUUAUGCCCCCACCUACUCGAUAUACAUGGGUCUAGCCCACAACGAGACCAACAAGGUGACAAUAGCAGGGUGGGCCAUCAUGCUAGCUAGGAGGACUUCGGUCUGAGGAUGACUUGACGUGAAUGGGUACAGGAUUUGUAGCGACCUGGUCAUGGAUGGUGGUUCUGCAAGCCAGUAUGUGGUGCUACACCCAGUGUGAGUAAGGCACUCUUGGGCAAGGUGCUCAGCGGAUCUGUUUGGCAGGACACAAGUAUUGCAGCGGUGGCGAAAUGGUCGAGCGUCUUCCUCGUAUGCAGGGAGGUACUUGGUUAGAAUCCCAGUGCCACUGGGAACCUAUCAGAUUUUUAUUGGGUAGAGAUGUCCUCCGGCUUGGUGCUCAGUUGUUUGUAGGAGUUUUCAUGUCGAAAGGGGCGCUAUAGAGAUUUGAAAGGUGCCCCUUGUCUCACCACAACGAUGGUGACCCAGACGAGCAUUUGCCACUGCUGUGGGAGGCUGAGUAGCGCUGCCGCCUGGUACCCACCGGUAAAAUAGGUAUAACUGUGCUUCCGGUCAGGUGCUCAGCCAUUACGGGAUACUUGGAAAGGGGUGUUUCUUUCCAAUCCAAGGGCAUCCCCACCUAACAGCUGCAUUAGGAUGCCACACAGGAAACUGCUGCCGUGGAAGCAGCCCAGACCCAUUUUCUUUAAUCCUUGGAGGGCCCCUUGCAAGAUGAGAACUCGUAGAAGGUGCCGAGCACUGGGCCAGGGGACACCUAUACCCAUUAGAACUGGCGAGUUUCUGGCAGUGAACAGCGGAUGAUAAGAGUGGUAUAGAAUCGAACGGAAGGAAUAAUCUAUAUUAUCCUGGCCCAGGGGCGGGGGGGUAUUCUGUAAGAGUCCACCUAGUGGACUGUCCACUUCGGCUGUCGCCAUUAGCGCCAGCUUCACGAGCACGAAGGUGCCAGCCAGUCUCCUUCGCGCUCGUGAAGCUGGAGCCAAUGGCGACAGCUGAAGUGGACAGUCCAGGUGAACUCUUACAGAAUACCCCCCUAGAUCUCAGUUAUUGAG